AGAGGUUGAGGUGUGUACAAGGGACUAAGGCGCGUCCUUCUCGUUACAUCAUCAGCGCGAGCCCCAGACCGAGUGGAUCGAUCGAAAUGAAGGAGCAGAGACAUGCGGGUGAUGGAUCACAGACCGGCCAGAGGGUGUUCCUACCUCGUCUCCAAGCCAGCCUUGACUCCUUUACUAGUGGGUGGAAUAACCAUCCUCUCCGCACAUAGAGUAAUCGAAGCCCAGACCAGUUGUGGGAAAUUGGACUCCUGCAAAACCCUGUCACUCCUCCAGUCCUAUCUGAGAUUGCACAAGACGGCGACUCUGACUGGGACACAGACAGUAUCUCUGACCAGCCGUGGACAGGAAUUGUAGUUCCUCCAGUCAAAUGCCCCUUAACUUAAGAACUUAUAGGCCCAAAUUCAAACUUCUUUAACCCAAACUCACACUCUCAAAACUAUGGAAGAGACCAGUAUUUAUAAGUCUUAAAUUUUGU